rnacentral:rRNA from 1 species
GAUGAACGCUGGCGGCGUGCUUAACACAUGCAAGUCGAACGAGAAGUGAAGACGGAAACCUUCGGGCGGAAGGCUUUAUUUCGAGUGGCGGACGGGUGAGUAACGCGUGGGUAACCUGCCUCAUACAGGGGGAUAACAGUUGGAAACGACUGUUAAUACCGCAUAAGACCACAGCACCGCAUGGUGCGGGGGUAAAAACUCCGGUGGUAUGAGAUGGACCCGCGUUCGAUUAGCCAGUUGGCGGGGUAACGGCCCACCAAAGCGACGAUCGAUAGCCGAUCUGAGAGGAGGACCGGCCACAUUGGGACUGAGACACGGCCAAAACUCCUACGGGAGGAAGCAGUGGGGAAUAUUGCACAAUGGGGGAAACCCUGAUGCAGCGACGCCGCGUGAGUGAAGAAGUAUUUCGGUAUGUAAAGCUCUAUCAGCAGGGAAGAAAAUGACGGUACCUGAGUAAGAAGCCCCGGCUAACUACGUG